CCUUUGUACACACCGCCCGUCGCUACUACCGAUUGAAUGGCUCAGUGAGGCCUUCGGACUGGCUCAGGGGGGUUGGCAACGACCGCCCAGAGCCGGAAAGUUGGUCAAACUUGGUCAUUUAGAGG
rnacentral:rRNA from 1 species